rnacentral:lncRNA from 1 species
UAUAAGAAUUAUUCUUUGUGAAAAGUAUUGAUUUUGUAUAACUUAUAACGCAUCGUGUUGAUGCGGAGGAUUUUGUAUUUUGUGAUAUUCAAACCAGCGCUUUAUAAUCAGAUUUUCAAUUUUUCCACUGCGUAUUUUCGAAAAAGAUUUUAUAAAGGCAGAGUUAAUUAAAUAACGGGUUUGGGUGUUACAGCGAACAUCACUUCGCUCAGCGAACUCACCUGUUUUGAAAAUCUAUAAAUAGCUAUCAGAUGUCAUUUUUUAUAAAACAAUCACUUUUGUAAUAGAUUUCACACGAGAGUAACACUAGUUCUAGGGUUCUUGAGGAGUUUUUAAGGUGGAUUCAUCACAAAGACUUGAGAAAUCAAGAGAUGAUCUUCAUACUCUUCACUCUUCACUCUUGUAAGUUGAUCAAAACCAUGAGUAGCUAAUUUCUUUGUUGUUGGG